rnacentral:lncRNA from 1 species
AGAAGCACUGGGUAAAUGCACGACUUGUUCUUGCCUUCUAAAGCAGAGAGGAGCUUUUGUGGGUAGUUCCUACAGGGAUACAUGGUAGAAAAUUCACCAAACCCAGUGCUGGAGUGUUUCUCUUCCUCAGAAGAAAUCAGAUGCUGUUCAGAGCACGAAGGCUAGAAUUUUACCCUGGUUCUCAUGCUACCUUGCACCCAGGUUGGAUCCUGAGUACAGUUUUUGGCAGGAAGCCCCAGAGAGAUUGGUGAGGGUGAUUUCCCAGGAAGACGCAGUGUGCUCUGACUUCUGUGACAGACAUGCUCUGGAGUCAGAAGACAGCGAAAAGAGAAGCAGAAGCCCCGGUGGCAAGAGUCUGAAGCAGGAAGGAUGACUGUAGCCUGUGGAUUGUACUGCAGUAGGAAACUGUCCUAGCAAGGCUCCACUUUGCCCCAGCUUCAAGCUGGAAAGGAGGAGAACAUGAAACAUUGCUUGAAGACAAUGGCCGAGACAGCAGGUCCCACCCUGCACAGCCACCAGCAUCUCUCCCCUCAGCCCUGUCUCCUCUUCUGCAGUUGGGAUCUGCACAUUUAAGCCUGAAAUUGUCCUGUGAAGUGAAGUAUGAUCGGACAGCCUCUUUUCAGCUUUUAUGACAAUGGAGACAGAGGAAUUGUGGCUCUUGCCAAGGUCACAGGAUUGGAAUACAGAGCCAAGCCACCCCAGGACAUGCAAGAGCCUCAGAAGGGAAAAAAGCCCAGCAGGAAGGGAGAACAAGUAGCCUCUGUCCUGAAGUUGUAACAGCCAGGGGCCAGGAUGGAGGAGGAGGACCCCAUAAUCUGCCCAUCUGGGACUUGGCAGGGGACCUGGGAAAAUGUACCCCAACCCAUCCCUUAAGGGCCUUUGUCUUUGGCCCAUUGGCCUAGCAUCUACU